CAAAAAUUGCGUUCUCUCUCUCUCUCUUUAUGUAAUUCUCUCCUUCUGUUUGCUGCAAAGUCUUCUUUCAUAACCAAUAAAAAAAAAAUUCCGUUCUUCUUUCUCCUAUACCAAAUUAAUCCUCCAUCUUGUCUCCGUUUGUGCUGAGCCAUCAUUAACCAUGAUGUAUAUUCAACGGAUAUUAAAGAGGCAGCAUGACUUGAGACAGUGAGGGAAUUGCAGAUGAGCAUUGGAACUAUUAGUAAGUCGCCUCACAUCACAAAGCCAACGGAGCCAAAGGGAACUAUUUCCAGGAAUCAAACGUAUUCCACUGGAGUCGGAGUUGUGUGAAUUAGAAUCAGAGUUGUCAAAAGAGAUGAACAUACCUAUCUUUUGCUAUCAGAUACAUUGAAUUUUCUCUUCUUUUUUUUAAUAAUUCAUCUUGCUGGCAAAA